rnacentral:rRNA from 1 species
AACGAACGCUGGCGGUAGGCUUAACACAUGCAAGUCGAGCGCCCCGCCAGGGGAGCGGCAGACGGGUGAGUAACGCGUGGGAACGUACCUUUUGGUUCGGAACAACUCCGGGAAACUGGAGCUAAUACCGGAUAAGCCCUAACGGGGAAAGAUUUAUCGCCGAAAGAUCGGCCCGCGUCUGAUUAGCUAGUUGGUGAGGUAACGGCUCACCAAGGCGACGAUCAGUAGCUGGUCUGAGAGGAUGAUCAGCCACACUGGGACUGAGACACGGCCCAGACUCCUACGGGAGGCAGCAGUGGGGAAUAUUGGACAAUGGGCGCAAGCCUGAUCCAGCCAUGCCGGGUGAGGGAUGAAGGCCUUAGGGUUGUAAAGCUCUUUUGUCCGGGAAGAUAAUGACUGUACCGGAAGAAUAAGCCCCGGCUAACUUCG